CGUGUUUGAGGAACGAAUAUGAAUAACGGACAGCAACAUGGGGCGGCACGGCGGCUCAGCGGUUAGCACUGCUUCCUCGCUGCGCCGGCAACCCGGGUUCGAUUUCGGCCUCGGGCGACUGUCUGUGCGGAGUUUGCACGUUCUCCCCGUGUCUGCGUGGGUUUCCUCCGGGUGCUCCGGUUUCCUUCCGCACUCCAAAGAUGUGCAGGAAUUGAAGCAAACGGAGACAUUACCGAUGAAACAACGAGACAACAAGGUGUAGAGCUGGAUGAACACAGCAGGCCAAGCGGCACCAGAGGAGCAGGAAGGCUGACGUUUCGGGCCUAGACCCUUCUUCAGAAACCAAUGAAACAACAAUGUGAUUAAGCACUGAGAAGUCCACGCGAGGAAGUGUGAAGUUAACUCAUUAGGUCUGACAUUCAAACAGAAAAUGCCAGUAAAGUCUGAUUGGAUCUGAAACUACUGUGUCCUAACGAAACACUUCGCACACCAACAAAGACAAGCUGAUCGCUGUAUGUCUGCACCGACCCGGGCUGCCCAGUGAUUUAAAGAUACAGCUAUUGACAUGACCAAAAGUAAUUUGACUUACGUGAAUAAAGCUCCAAACCGCAGACCUCCUGCGACUUAGUUGGCGAGACAGUCGCUCGGUCGAGUAUCGCUCCAGAGAACUGAGCACGUAUUCCACCUAACGCGUGAAAAUUAAUUUUUGCAUUUCAAGCGUCGUGAUAGGUUGGAAUAUUUCAAAACUAUUUAAUUGAUGGAAGAGCUUUGCACAAUCCGGUAGGAAUGAAUGCAUCUUUGAAAUAAAUGCACCUUUGUUGAGAAACUCAGCAGAAACCGAACUAUUAAAAAUGAAAGAAAAAGUUUCGUUUUCUCACAUGGGUAACUGACCAAAUUAUCUAUAAAAGAUCUGAAUUCCAAACACAGAUAGAGCAUCGUCAAGAAAUCCUGAAUAAGCUUUAGGAGCAAAAAAUCCACUCUCAUUCAAACGCAUUAGUCAUCUGUCUUCACUGGGGGAGUCUGAUUCCCCCCCCGCGGCCCAAUGGAAACUGAACAGGGUGAGCAGCCAGAAGUCGUGGUACCCGUCGGUACCAAUGACGUAACUAGGAAAAGGGACGAGGUCCCGAAAAGUGAAUAUAAGGAGUUAGGCUGGAAGCUAAAAGGCAGGACGAGCAGAGUAGUAAUCUCAGGAUUACUACCGGUGCCACGGGCUAGUGAGGAUCGGAAUACAGAGCGAGUGCAGCUGAGCACGUGGCUACAGAUACGUGGACCAUUGGGAUACCUUCUGGGGAAGGCGGGUCCUGUACGAGAAGGACGGGUCACACCUGAACCGGAAGGACACCAGUUUGCUAGAGCUCUUCGGGGGGGUUUAAGCUAGUUUGGCAGGGGGUGGGAACCAGAGCUACGGAUCAGAGGACGGGGUAGCUGGUGUUACAGGCAGAUACAGCAUGCAGUAAGUUGCAGUCAGUGUGACGGGUUGAAGUGUGUCUAUUUUAACGCAAGCAGUGUCAGCAGAAAGGGUGAUGAACUUAGAACAUGGCUCAGUACUUGGAGCUACGAUGUUGUGACCGUUACGGAGACUUGGAUAUCACAGGGGCAGGAACGGUUGUUGGAUGUUCCGGGGUUGAGAAUUUUCAAAAGAAAUAGGGAGGGAGGUGGGGGAGUGGCAUUGCCGAUCAGGGCUGGUAUCACAGCUGCAGAAAGGGAGGUCGUCAAGGAGGGUCUGUGCACUGAGUCAGUAUGGGUGGAAGUCAGAAACAGGAAGGGAGCAGUCACUUUAUUGAGAGUUUUCUAUAGACACCUCCCAAUAGCAGCAGAGACACUGAGGAACAGAUUGGGAGGCAGAUUUUGGAAAGGUGCAGAAGUAAUAGGGUCGUUGUCAUGGCUAACUUCAACUUCCCUAGUACAGACUGGAACCUCCUUGGUGCAAAUAGUUCGGACGGAAGUGAUUUUGUCAAGUGUGUCCAGGAAGGAUUUCUGACUCGAUAUGUAGAUAGGCCGACUAGAGGGGAGGCCGUAUUGGAUUUGGUGCUUGGCAAAGAACCAGGCCAGGUGUCAGAUCUCUCGGUGGGAGAACAUUUUGGUGAUAGUGAUCACAACUCCCUGACCUUUAUUACAGUCACGGAGAGGGAUAAGAGCAGACGGUACGUGAAAGUAUUUAAUUGGGGGAGGGGGAAUUACAAUGCUAUUAGGCAAGAACAUCCAGUCAAGAGUAAGCAAGAGUAAGAAGGAAGCUUACUUAAAGUUGAGGAAACAAGGAUCGGACAGGGCUGUAGAGGGUUACAAGGUAGCCGGGAAGGAACUUGAGAACGGACUUAGGAGAGCUAGAAGUGGGUAUGAAAAGGCCUUGGCUGGUACGAUUAAGGAAAAGCCCAAGGCGUUCUAUACUUAUGCGAGGAACAAGAAGAUGGCCAGAGUGAGGGUAGGGCCAAUCAGGGAUAGUGGAGGGAACUUGUGCCUGGAGUCAGGCGGUGGUAGUAGAGUCAGAUACAUUAGGGACAUUUAAGCAAUUCUUGGAUAGGCACGUGAAUGACAGCAAAGUGAAGGGUAUGCGGGUUAGUUUGAUCUUAGAGGAGGAUAAUAGGUCGGCAUAACAUCGUGGGCCACAGAGCUUGUACUGUGCUGUACUGUUCUAUUCCUCCCUGACUGCGAUUGGAACAACACUCGGAAGAAAACUGGAAGAGCAAGGCUUUAAUAGGGCAGGCGUAUUGUUAGGCCAGCUCUUUGCUUUGAAAACGGAUGACGAAUUGGUUGGAAGACAUCUGCGGAACCAACAUCAAACAAGCUGAACAGUGAGACAAUUGUUUACAAGAACGGUGCGAUGCCUUCCUUUAGUUAACACUUGUUUAUCUAAAGCAUGUGUCAGUCUGGUUUGAAUAAGCGUUGCAGACCAUCAUCAAUUUUCCCAUGCUUGCCCUGAACAUGGGUGAAGCUUGUCUUAAUCGUAUGUGAAUUUCACAACUUAAAUUCCAGUUCAAAACAAUUGUUUUAUGGUCUAAUUGAUUUUACAUGUAACAUUAAUUCUCUGAUAAAGGCUACAGUAAAUGGUGUAACUUUAAAAAACGACAGCAAAACAUUA